AUUGAACGCUAGCGGCAUGCUUAACACAUGCAAGUCGAACGGCAGCACGAGGAGCUUGCUCCUUGGUGGCGAGUGGCGGACGGGUGAGUAACGCGUAGGAAUCUACCUUAUAGUGGGGGACAACCCGGGGAAACUCGGGCUAAUACCGCAUAAUGUCUAAGGAUCAAAGCAGGGGACCUUCGGGCCUUGCGCUAUAAGAUGAGCCUGCGUCGGAUUAGCUAGUUGGUGGGGUAAAGGCCUACCAAGGCGACGAUCCGUAGCUGGUCUGAGAGGACGACCAGCCACACUGGGACUGAGACACGGCCCAGACUCCUACGGGAGGCAGCAGUGGGGAAUAUUGGACAAUGGGCGAAAGCCUGAUCCAGCAAUGCCGCGCGUGUGAAGAAGGCCUUCGGGUUGUAAAGCACUUUUAGUGGGGAAGAAAUACUUAAGGGUAAUAUCCUUAGGGGCUGACGUUACCCACAGAAAAAGCACUGGCUAACUCUGUGCCAGCCGCCGCUGUAAAAC
rnacentral:rRNA from 1 species